GAUGAACGCUGGCGGCGUGCCUAAUACAUGCAAGUCGAGCGAACAGACGAGGAGCUUGCUCCUCUGACGUUAGCGGCGGACGGGUGAGUAACACGUGGAUAGCCUACCUAUAAGACUGGGAUAACUUCGGGAAACCGGAGCUAAUACCGGAUAAUAUAUUGAACCGCAUGGUUCAAUAGUGAAAGACGGUUUUGCUGUCACUUAUAGAUGGAUCCGCGCCGCAUUAGCUAGUUGGUAAGGUAACGGCUUACCAAGGCAACGAUGCGUAGCCGACCUGAGAGGGUGAUCGGCCACACUGGAACUGAGGCACGGUCCAGACUCCUACGGGAGGCAGCAGUAGGGAAUCUUCCGCAAUGGGCGAAAGCCUGACGGAGCAACGCCGCGUGAGUGAUGAAGGUCUUCGGAUCGUAAAACUCUGUUAUUAGGGAAGAACAAAUGUGUAAGUAACUAUGCACGUCUUGACGGUACCUAAUCAGAAAGCCACGGCUAACUACGUG
rnacentral:rRNA from 1 species